rnacentral:rRNA from 1 species
GCUCCCUUAGGUCAGCGGCGGACGGGUGAGUAACACGUGGGUAACCUGCCUGUAAGACUGGGAUAACUCCGGGAAACCGGGGCUAAUACCGGAUGCUUGAUUGAACCGCAUGGUUCAAUCAUAAAAGGUGGCUUUUAGCUACCACUUACAGAUGGACCCGCGGCGCAUUAGCUAGUUGGUGAGGUAACGGCUCACCAAGGCGACGAUGCGUAGCCGACCUGAGAGGGUGAUCGGCCACACUGGGACUGAGACACGGCCCAGACUCCUACGGGAGGCAGCAGUAGGGAAUCUUCCGCAAUGGACGAAAGUCUGACGGAGCAACGCCGCGUGAGUGAUGAAGGUUUUCGGAUCGUAAAACUCUGUUGUUAGGGAAGAACAAGUACCGUUCGAAUAGGGCGGCACCUUGACGGUACCUAACCAGAAAGCCACGGCUAACUACGUGCCAGCAGCCGCGGUAAUACGUAGGUGGCAAGCGUUGUCCGGAAUUAUUGGGCGUAAAGCGCGCGCAGGCGGUUUCUUAAGUCUGAUGUGAAAGCCCCCGGCUCAACCGGGGAGGGUCAUUGGAAACUGGGGAACUUGAGUGCAGAAGAGGAGAGUGGAAUUCCACGUGUAGCGGUGAAAUGCGUAGAGAUGUGGAGGAACACCAGUGGCGAAGGCGACUCUCUGGUCUGUAACUGACGCUGAGGCGCGAAAGCGUGGGGAGCGAACAGGAUUAGAUACCCUGGUAGUCCACGCCGUAAACGAUGAGUGCUAAGUGUUAGAGGGUUUCCGCCCUUUAGUGCUGCAGCAAACGCAUUAAGCACUCCGCCUGGGGAGUACGGUCGCAAGACUGAAACUCAAAGGAAUUGACGGGGGCCCGCACAAGCGGUGGAGCAUGUGGUUUAAUUCGAAGCAACGCGAAGAACCUUACCAGGUCUUGACAUCCUCUGACAACCCUAGAGAUAGGGCUUCCCCUUCGGGGGCAGAGUGACAGGUGGUGCAUGGUUGUCGUCAGCUCGUGUCGUGAGAUGUUGGGUUAAGUCCCGCAACGAGCGCAACCCUUGAUCUUAGUUGCCAGCAUUCAGUUGGGCACUCUAAGGUGACUGCCGGUGACAAACCGGAGGAAGGUGGGGAUGACGUCAAAUCAUCAUGCCCCUUAUGACCUGGGCUACACACGUGCUACAAUGGGCAGAACAAAGGGCAGCGAAGCCGCGAGGCUAAGCCAAUCCCACAAAUCUGUUCUCAGUUCGGAUCGCAGUCUGCAACUCGACUGCGUGAAGCUGGAAUCGCUAGUAAUCGCGGAUCAGCAUGCCGC